UAUUUUUUUUUCAUGAUUCAAAGUUCAAACCAACUCAUCUAAUCUCCUUCCAGCUGAAAUCGAGAACCCAACUCAAGGAGGGAGUUAUCGCUUGUUUUCUCAAAUCCCAUUCAAGGUGAAUCAUCGCAAGUGAAACGUGAUACCAAGGGGAGGAAAGUGAUUGUGAAUUAAGCAGUCGAGGUUGAGCGGCGACGAGAGUACGGUGGUGUUGAGCAAGUCAAUUGGUAAAUGAACUGUUGUUUUUGAAUUAUGGGUGUCGUUGUGUCUUCACACAUGACGUCACUCUUACUCUUGGUCGUUUCCGCUGUGACAUUUCUUUCAAUUAUCGUUUAUUAGGCUUGCAACCUAAAUUAUUUGGAUAUUGAAUAUUUGGGAUUUUACCAAUUUAUGUCAAAUUCUUGGUCCUUUUAUUUGAAUAUUAAUUGUUGGUCAAGUUCGUUAU